rnacentral:rRNA from 1 species
UACGAGGGGGGCAAGCGUUGUUCGGAAUUAUUGGGCGUAAAGGGUGCGUAGGCGGUUUGAUAAGUCACAUGUGAAAUCUUCGGGCUCAACCCGAAGUCUGCAUGCGAAACUGUCGGGCUUGAGUAUGGGAGAGGUGAGUGGAAUUUCCGGUGUAGCGGUGAAAUGCGUAGAUAUCGGAAGGAACACCUGUGGCGAAAGCGGCUCACUGGACCAUAACUGACGCUGAUGCACGAAAGCUAGGGGAG